rnacentral:rRNA from 1 species
CUUUGUACCUAGCAGUAUCCUGAGUACGGCGGGACACGUGAAAUCCCGUCGGAAUCUGGGAGGACCAUCUCCCAACCCUAAAUACUCCCUAGUGACCGAUAGUGAACCAGUACCGUGAGGGAAAGGUGAAAAGCACCCCGGGAGGGGAGUGAAAUAGAACCUGAAACCGUGUGCCUACAACAAGUUCGAGCCCGUUAAUGGGUGAGAGCGUGCCUUUUGUAGAAUGAACCGGCGAGUUACGUUAUGAUGCGAGGUUAAGUUGAAGAGACGGAGCGGUAGGGAAACCGAGUCUGAAUAGGGCGCCUUAGUAUCAUGACGU